UGUUCUGUUGCAUCUUCUUCGGCAGAAUGAAUUCACGCUGAUCUCGGCUGCCCUCUACCCGAUCUUUCCCUCGUCUUUCGUGUGCCCGAGACUGAUUGUCGUCGACAUGACUGAUGGGGAUGGGUGUGUGCUGACUAGCCAAAAAAAAUUGUCGCCGGAGAGAUGGGACAGGUUCAGCAUGGUCUCCUUGAAUUUUAGAAAUCAGCCUAUCUUUC
rnacentral:lncRNA from 1 species